AAGUCGUAACAAGGUUUCCGUAGGUGAACCUGCGGAAGGAUCAUUAACACGUAUCCACGUAUCUACCUCUUGCGAACUUGUUUUUGUUUGUAGUUGUGCUGGGUACAAUUAAAGGAAGCAGAUGGCCAUGUCAGAAUUCAUUUUCUGUUCUGCUUGCCUUUCCGCCCAUGUUUGAGUGUUAGUGUAUUGAGAUCUGUGGAAUGUGUCAUGCAUCCUACAGUCCUGCUAGCAGUUUUUGCUCCUUGGGAUGGGUAUCUGGUGCAACUCGAAUCAUGGUGGUUAUUAACUAUUAACCCUUUUUCAAUUAUUGUCUUAGUGUGAGUGUGUGUGAGUGUGUGUGUGCUCUUUUUUGGAGCGCGCCACCCACCAACUCCCCAAAAAAAUAACAAAGAUACAACUCUUAGCAACGGAUAUCUAGGUUCU
rnacentral:misc_RNA from 1 species